GCCAACUCAGUAUGGGAGA
rnacentral:misc_RNA from 1 species